GAGAAUCGGCCAAGUGUCAAAAUUUUGCACCUCACUCGUCCUUCUCUUGGAAUCAAACAAUCCUCCAUUUAAUUUUGUUCAAAAUGGUACAAUUCGUACGAAUUCCAACUCCCUUGACCUUAUCCAUUAAGUAUUUUGAAUUGUGAGUGCUCCCUCAUCGAUUUCCAUAUCCAAAAUCCUCUCAGAAGCUUCUCUAUAUAAAGCCACCCU
rnacentral:misc_RNA from 1 species